CUCGACAGGACUCACAUUCACACUGCUUGGUGCCAGCAGCUACUCGGAGCAGCAGGGGACGCGCUUAAAGGGGCAAUGACAAAGGUCUAUGAAGUUAAUUUCUAAACAAACUGGAGUACACCUUCAAUGAGACUUAAGUCCAUCUCAUGGUAUGAUGAGGCGCACAUCCACACUCUGUCACACCAGAGUAUUUUGGCAUCAAUAUUUACCUUAAAUAUGUCUUCUACAUGUCGUUGGAAAACCAGAGCAUGUGAUGAAAUCUGUUUGCUCUCCGAGAACUUAUGGAUUUACUCUGUCUUUAAUAUAAUUUUACAUGAACUUUUGGUGACAUAGAUCAAUGGACCAUCUAGCUCCAAUAUAGAGAAGGGGUGAGUUGCUGGGAAUUUGAUUGUGAGCUGAUUGGGGUUUGCUGUCAUGCUGCCUAUCUCAAUUCUUAUUUAUCUGGUUCAUCACACUGUCCUUUUGGUCUCACUGUGUCUGUCAGGCCUUGCUCAGUGGUCUACUGAAACAUUAGUAAUGUUUAACCCUACUGUAUAGGGUCACUUUUAACAGGGUGAUUUUAGGAGGGUGUUGUUGUUGCCUACUGUGACUUGUUUUUUGUUUUUUUUUUCUAACAUUGUUGAGUAUUGUUUUUGCUUAUUGAACUCAAAAAAUCUGGUCAUAAAGUAACUGAUGUAUACUAAAUAAUUUUAUGUAACAUAUUAAAUGUAGGAGGUUAAGCAAAGAGUGUAAGAUGCUAAACUAAAUGACCACCGUUACUUUACACUUGGUUAUUUAAUGCUAAAAUAUUAAUAACAAUAAUAAUAAAAUGUUAUUAAACCAUGAA